GACGAACGCUGGCGGCGUGCUUAACACAUGCAAGUCGAACGGAAAGGCCCUGCUUUUGUGGGGUGCUCGAGUGGCGAACGGGUGAGUAACACGUGAGUAACCUGCCCUUGACUUUGGGAUAACUUCAGGAAACUGGGGCUAAUACCGGAUAGGAGCUCCUGCUGCAUGGUGGGGGUUGGAAAGUUUCGGCGGUUGGGGAUGGACUCGCGGCUUAUCAGCUUGUUGGUGGGGUAGUGGCUUACCAAGGCUUUGACGGGUAGCCGGCCUGAGAGGGUGACCGGCCACAUUGGGACUGAGAAACGGCCCGGACUCCUACGGGAGGCAGCAGUGGGGAAUGUUGCACAAUGGGCGGAAGCCUGAUGCAGCAACGCCGCGUGCGGGAUGACGGCCUUCGGGUUGUAAACCGCUUUCGCCUGUGACGAAGCGUGAGUGACGGUAAUGGGUAAAGAAGCACCGGCUAACUACGUG
rnacentral:rRNA from 1 species